UCUGGUGAUGAUGGCGAAGAGGUCACACCCGUUUCCAUACCGAACACGGAAGUUAAGCUCUUCAGCGCCGAUGGUAGUCGGGGGUUUCC
rnacentral:rRNA from 1 species